AAUAUGGCGCGCGUCUCGUAGCUGUCACUCUGCUUAUUUGUUAUUUAGUUAAUUGGAUUUAAUAAUAAACACCACAGAGAUUCGGUACUUACUCAUACAGCGACUUGAAUCAGAAAACCGUCAAAUAUAAAAACGAUAAACGAGUGUGAAGAUCGGUACUGUUUGGUUAAUUCACACUGGCACACGAGUUUUAUUGUUAAAAGAAGAAAAUAUAAAUAACAGAUGGACAUAACAAUAUUACGAAUGUGUAUGUAGUAUUUUUUUUGGAAAGAAUAAAAGAUUUUGUUGUUAAACUAAAUAUCCACUAAAUUUCGCAUCACCAUCGCACAUCUCGAACCUUAAAAAAUUACCCUAAUCUUAAAAAAAUAUUUGCUUCUAGAGCACGGAAAAAUAAUUUUCCAAAAUGGCGGUUCACACUCCACGUUUGCCCUCAUUAAUUAAAUCGUAAAUCAAUUAACGACAAGUCUCGCUUAAUUAGAAGCCGCGAUGUCAGGCGAACUUCGUCGUGGAACAUUAAACUGAAUCCAUGCUUUAACACCUAUAAAAUAUGUUUUGAAGGAUCGUUUGUUAUCGCGUAUCUUUUGGCUACAACUUUUCGAGGAAGUUGGAACGGAAAUUAUAUACAUUUUUAGGUGCCUAUACUAAAAAAAAGAUUUAUUAAAAAAAAUGCUGUGACGUAGUAAGUAAGCAUUUAUAUAAACAUGUAUCGUUUAAUUACGGGAAUUAUGGGGAGAGUAAUCAUACAUAAUCAUACUACGAAGGUUAAAAAAAAAAAUUGUAUUUCAAUAUAAAAAAGAACCUUUAAUGGCUUCUUUUUUAUUUUAUUUUGUGUAGGGCAUGUGAGGUAGUAAGUAAGCAUUUAUAUAAACAUGUAUCGUUUAAUUAUGGGGAGAGUAAUAAAUCAUAUUUCGAUGU